GAGUUUGAUCUUGGCUCAGGAUGAACGCUGGCGGCGUGCCUAAUACAUGCAAGUCGAACGAACAGAUAAGGAGCUUGCUCCCUUGACGUUAGCGGCGGACGGGUGAGUAACGCGUGGGUAACCUACCUAUAAGACUGGAAUAACUCCGGGAAACCGGGGCUAAUGCCGGAUAACAUGUUGAACCGCAUGGGUUCUACAGUGAAAGACGGUCUUGCUGUCACUUAUAGAUGGACCCGCGCCGUAUUAGCUAGUUGGUGGGGUAACGGCCUACCAAGGCGACGAUACGUAGCCGACCUGAGAGGGUGAUCGGCCACACUGGAACUGAGACACGGUCCAGACUCCUACGGGAGGCAGCAGUAGGGAAUCUUCCGCAAUGGGCGAAAGCCUGACGGAGCAACGCCGCGUGAGUGAUGAAGGUCUUCGGAUCGUAAAGCUCUGUUGUUAGGGAAGAACAAAUGUGUAAGUAACUGUGCAUAUCUUGACGGUACCUAACCAGAAAGCCACGGCUAACUACGUGCCAGCAGCCG
rnacentral:rRNA from 1 species